GCGGACGGGUGAGUAACACGUGGAUAACCUACCUAUAAGGCUGGGAUAACUUCGGGAAACCGGAGCUAAUACCGGAUAAUAUAUUGAACCGCAUGGUUCAAUAGUGAAAGACGGUUUUGCUGUCACUUAUAGAUGGAUCCGCGCCGCAUUAGCUAGUUGGUAAGGUAACGGCUUACCAAGGCGACGAUGCGUAGCCGACCUGAGAGGGUGAUCGGCCACACUGGAACUGAGACACGGUCCAG
rnacentral:rRNA from 1 species